rnacentral:sRNA from 1 species
GAUGUGAAGGGCCAUGGGGCUACCAACGACCUGACCUUCACAGAGGAGGUGGACAUGAAGGAGAUGGAGAAGGCCCUGCAGGAGCGGGACUAUAUCUUUGGGAAUUACAUUGAGCGGCUCUGGGCCUACCUCACCAUCGAGCAGCUACUGGAGAAGCGCAAGAAUGCCCAUGGCGAGGAGAAGGAGAACCUCACGGCCCGGGCCCUAGACCUGUCCCUCAAGUAUCACUUUGUGACUCCACUGACCUCCAUGGUGGUGACCAAGCCUGAGGACAACGAGGAUGAGAGGGCCAUUGCUGACAAGCCUGGGGAAGGUGGGGAUAGGGAUGGAGACCGGAACCCGGAGGCCUCCUGUGCUGGGCACCCUCCCUGGGGAGGCUGGGGAGACCAGACCUGCUGAAGUGGGGCAUCUGAAGGAAAACUGGCCACAGGCUGGGGAAAGUGGGGUGGAGCGUGAAGCAGUCAGCAUGGACAGUGGGGUGUGGGGUGAAUAGGAGCCUCUGCACCUCUAAAGGGAAGUGAGUAAAGGGGGCACAGU